CGCUAUGACGUCAGUUGAUCGAAGUGAGUUGCUUCAGCAGAGGCAUUGAUUUCGCUUUCAGUUUCAAUACACAGUACAAUUGAAUUUUCGCGUGAAAUGGCGUUGCAAGUGGAGAUCGUACGGAAACAUAUGUAACUUAUAAUUAAAGAUGUGUAAAAGAA